AACUGAUGUUGGGGGCACUGCUAGAACAACUCCUGAAAUCUUUUCCAUGCCUCAUGGAAAGGCUCAUCCGCUCCUUGAAUAAAAGUCAUGAUCUGAGUACGGAU